AUGUCCAAUUCCAGAGCAAAACCUCCUCCUCCUCCCUCCCCCUCUGCCCCCACCUCCUCCUUCCCCUCCUCACAUCUUCCCUGUCCUCCUUCUCCUCCCCUUCCUCCCCUUCUCCUCUCCCCCUCCACCUUUCUCUCCUCAGCUCUUCCCCAUCCUCCUCACCUCCUCCCCCUCCUCCCUUCCCCCUCCACCUUCCUCUCCUCAGCUCUUCCCAUCCCCCUCCUCCCUCCUCCCAUCCUCCCUCCUCCCCCUCCUCCCCUCCGCCCCUCCUCCCCGCCUCCCCCUCCUCCUUCCUCCUUCCUCUCCUCAGCUCUUCCCAUCCUCCUCCUCCCCUUCACCCCCUCCUCCCCUCCACCCCCUCCUCCCCUCCACCCCCUCCUCCCUCCCCCUCCUCCCCCUCCUCCCUCCUCCCCCUCCUCCCCUCCGCCCCUCCUCCCCCUCCUCCCCGCCUCCCCCUCCUCCUUCCUCUUCUCAGCUCUAACCCAUCCUCCCUCCUCCUCCCCCUCCUCCCCCCUCCCCCUCCUCCCAUCCUCCCUCCUCCCCCCUCCCCCUCCUCCUUCCUCUCCUCAGCUCUUCCCAUCCUCCUCCUCCUCCUCCCCCUCCUCCCCCUCCUCCCCCUCCUCCCCCCUCCUCCCCGCCUCCCCCUCCUCCCCCUCCUCCCCCUCCUCCCCUCAUCGCCACCUCCUCCCCCUCCUCCCCCUCCUCCCCCUCCUCCCCCUCCUCCCCCUCCUCACCCUCCUCCCCCUCCUCCCCGCCUCCCCCUCCGGCCCUCCUCCCCUCCGCCCCUCCUCCCAUCCUCCCUCCUCCCUCCUCCCCUCAUCCCCUCCUCCCCUCAUCCCCUCCUCCCCCUCCUCCCCCUCCUCCCCCUCCUCCCCCCUCCUCCCCCUCCUCCUCCCUCCUCCCCCUCCUCCCCUCCGCCCCUCCUCCCCCUCCUCCCAUCCUCCCCCUCCUCCCCCUCCUCUCCGUCCUCCCAUCCUUCCCCCUCCUGCCCUCCUCCCCCUCCUCCCCUCCGCCCCUCCUCCCAUCCUCCUCCUCCUCCCCUCUACCCCCUCCUCCCCGCCUCCCCCUCCUCCCAUCCUCCCCCUCCUCCCAUCCUCCCCCUCCUCCUCCUCCCCUCCGCCCCUCCUCCCAUCCUCCCCCUCCUCCCCCUCCUCCCAUCCUCCCCCUCCUCUCCGUCCUCCCAUCCUUCCCCCUCCUGCCCUCCUCCCCCUCCUCCCAUCCUCCCCCUCCCCCUCCUCCCUCCUCCUCCCAUCCUCCCUCCUCCUCCCCUCCCCCUCUCCCCCUCCUCCCCCUCCUCCCCCUCCUCCCCUCCGCCCCUCCUCCCCUUCCUCCCCCUCCUCCCCCUCCUCCCCCUCCUCCCUCCUCCCCUCUCCCCCUCCUCCCCCUCCUCCCCCCCUCCUCCCUCCUCCCUCCUCCUCCCAUCCUCCCUCCUCCCUCCUCCCCCUCCUCCCCCUCCUCCCCCUCCUCCCAUCCUCCUCCUCCUCCCCCUCCUCCCCUCCCCCUCCUCCCUCCUCCCCCUCCUCCCCCUCCUGCCCUCCUCCCUCCUCCCCUUCUCCCCCUCCUCCCCCUCCUCCCCCUCCUCCCAUCCUCCCCUCCUCCCCUCCCCCUCCUCCUUCCUCUCCUCAGCUCUUCCCAUCCUCCCCAUCCUCCCCCUCCUCCCAUCCUCCCUCUCAUUAUUUUCCUCCCAUUUUUUCCAUCCCCUGCUUUUCCUUCUCCCCCUCCUCACCUCCUCCCCCUCCUCCCCCUCCUCCCAUCCUCCCCCUCCUCCUCCUCCUCCCCCUCCUCCCAUCCUCCCCCUCCUCCCCCUCCUCCUCCUCCUUCUCCUCCUCCUCUUCCUUAAAUCAAUCCACACUUAUUUGCCUUCAAUUUGAAGUGUUGUAG
rnacentral:lncRNA from 1 species